CCUACGGGAGGCAGCAGUGAGGAAUAUUGGUCAAUGGACGAGCGUCUGAACCAGCCAAGUAGCGUGAAGGAUGACUGCCCUAUGGGUUGUAAACUUCUUUUAUAUGGGAAUAAAAUGUUCCACGUGUGGGAUUUUGUAUGUCCCAUAUGAAUACGGAUCGGCUAACUCCGUGCCAGCAGCCGCGGUAAUACGGAGGAUCCGAGCGUUAUCCGGAUUUAUUGGGUUUAAAGGGAGCGUAGGUGGAUUGUUAAGUCAGUUGUGAAAGUUUGCGGCUCAACCGUAAAAUUGCAGUUGAAACUGGCAGUCUGGAGUACAGUAGAGGCGGGCGGAAUUCGUGGUGUAGCGGUGAAAUGCUUAGAUAUCACGAAGAACUCCGAUUGCGAAGGCAGCUCACUGGACUGCAACUGACACUGAGGCUCGAAAGUGUGGGUAUCAAACAGGAUUAGAUACCCUUGUAGUC
rnacentral:rRNA from 1 species